rnacentral:snRNA from 1 species
GGAUGUGGGGGUGAUCUGAUGGCUGUCCCCUUCCUCCCUCACUGCUCCAUGUGCCUCCCUCCUGAAGCCGUGUGCUUGGUCAAAGAGGACAACCUUCCCAGAAGGAAGAGAACCCUUAUCCAAUCAAGGGUAUAUGAGCAACAGCGCUCUCCUGCUAGGACCUCCAAACGAGAACACAGCUCUGAGACUGAGACUGUACAGACUCCAAAGGGUUGUCAGGGGGAAAAACCAGGUUUUCCUUCUG